CCACGUGAAGGUGCUCUUCAGGUACUCCACUCUGGCUGUAAUCUCCGCCUCGCUCAUGAAUGCAACGGCAUGCAGCGCGUGCCUGAACAUCCCAGAACCACGGGGCACACCUAUGUUUUCGGCGCAUGCCACCAUCGCCUGGAGAUGCUGCAGGUUGGCGGUGAUCAUCCUCGGUCUUUGGAUGCACAACUUGGCAAUAUCGCAAGCACCUAA
rnacentral:rRNA from 1 species